rnacentral:rRNA from 1 species
GGAUUAGAUACCCUGGUAGUCCACGCCGUAAACGAUGGAAGCUAGCUGUUGGGUAGCAUGCUAUUCAGUGGCGCAGCUAACGCAUUAAGCUUCCCGCCUGGGGAGUACGGUCGCAAGAUUAAAACUCAAAGGAAUUGACGGGGGCCCGCACAAGCGGUGGAGCAUGUGGUUUAAUUCGAGGCAACGCGAAGAACCUUACCAGCCCUUGACAUCCCUAUAGCCGAUGGUAGAGAUGCCGUCUUCAUUUAGUUGGAUAGGUGACAGGUGCUGCAUGGCUGUCGUCAGCUCGUGCCG